rnacentral:tRNA from 1 species
GUGUGUGUGGCGUACUGAUUAACGCUUCUGACUCCUGAUCGGAAUAUUCCACAUUCGAAUCCUGACACACUCG